rfam:Chlamydiae bacterium RIFCSPHIGHO2_12_FTLL_27_8 rifcsphigho2_12_scaffold_17768, whole genome shotgun sequence.
AUAAAGGCUUUUUUAAAAAAGCCACCUUUUAGAUGGCUUUAAAAUUAUU